GGGUUGUGAGGUUAAGCGACUAAGCGUACACGGUGGAUGCCCUGGCAGUCAGAGGCGAUGAAGGGCGUGCUAAUCUGCGAUAAGCGCCGGUAAGGUGAUAUGAACCGUUAUAACCGGCGAUACCCGAAUGGGGAAACCCAGUGUGACUCGUCACACUAUCAUUAACUGAAUCCAUAGGUUAAUGAGGCGAACCGGGGGAACUGAAACAUCUAAGUACCCCGAGGAAAAGAAAUCAACCGAGAUUCCCCCAGUAGCGGCGAGCGAACGGGGAGGAGCCCAGAGCCUGAAUCAGCAUGUGUGUUAGUGGAAGCGUCUGGAAAGGCGCGCGAUACAGGGUGACAGCCCCGUACACAAAAGCGCAUGUGCUGUGAGCUCGAUGAGUAGGGCGGGACACGUGGUAUCCUGUCUGAAUAUGGGGGGACCAUCCUCCAAGGCUAAAUACUCCUGACUGACCGAUAGUGAACCAGUACCGUGAGGGAAAGGCGAAAAGAACCCCGGCGAGGGGAGUGAAAAAGAACCUGAAACCGUGUACGUACAAGCAGUGGGAGCACAGGUUUACCUGUGUGACUGCGUACCUUUUGUAUAAUGGGUCAGCGACUUAUAUUCUGUAGCAAGGUUAACCGAAUAGGGGAGCCGGAGGGAAACCGAGUCUUAACCGGGCGUUAAGUUGCAGGGUAUAGACCCGAAACCCGGUGAUCUAGCCAUGGGCAGGUUGAAGGUUGGGUAACACUAACUGGAGGACCGAACCGACUAAUGUUGAAAAAUUAGCGGAUGACCUGUGGCUGGGGGUGAAAGGCCAAUCAAACCGGGAGAUAGCUGGUUCUCCCCGAAAGCUAUUUAGGUAGCGCCUCGUGAAUUCAUCUCCGGGGGUAGAGCACUGUUUCGGCUAGGGGGCCAUCCCGGCUUACCAACCCGAUGCAAACUGCGAAUACCGGAGAAUGUUAUCACGGGAGACACACGGCGGGUGCUAACGUCCGUCGUGAAGAGGGAAACAACCCAGACCGCCAGCUAAGGUCCCAAAGUCAUGGUUAAGUGGGAAACGAUGUGGGAAGGCCCAGACAGCCAGGAUGUUGGCUUAGAAGCAGCCAUCAUUUAAAGAAAGCGUAAUAGCUCACUGGUCGAGUCGGCCUGCGCGGAAGAUGUAACGGGGCUAAACCAUGCACCGAAGCUGCGGCAGCGACGCUGAUGCGUUGUUGGGUAGGGGAGCGUUCUGUAAGCCUGUGAAGGUGGCCUGUGAGGGUUGCUGGAGGUAUCAGAAGUGCGAAUGCUGACAUAAGUAACGAUAAAGCGGGUGAAAAGCCCGCUCGCCGGAAGACCAAGGGUUCCUGUCCAACGUUAAUCGGGGCAGGGUGAGUCGACCCCUAAGGCGAGGCCGAAAGGCGUAGUCGAUGGGAAACGGGUUAAUAUUCCCGUACUUGGUGUUACUGCGAAGGGGGGACGGAGAAGGCUAUGUUGGCCGGGCGACGGUUGUCCCGGUUUAAGCGUGUAGGCUGGUUUUCCAGGCAAAUCCGGAAAAUCAAGGCUGAGGCGUGAUGACGAGGCACUACGGUGCUGAAGCAACAAAUGCCCUGCUUCCAGGAAAAGCCUCUAAGCAUCAGGUAACAUCAAAUCGUACCCCAAACCGACACAGGUGGUCAGGUAGAGAAUACCAAGGCGCUUGAGAGAACUCGGGUGAAGGAACUAGGCAAAAUGGUGCCGUAACUUCGGGAGAAGGCACGCUGACACGUAGGUGAAGUGAUUUACUCAUGGAGCUGAAGUCAGUCGAAGAUACCAGCUGGCUGCAACUGUUUAUUAAAAACACAGCACUGUGCAAACACGAAAGUGGACGUAUACGGUGUGACGCCUGCCCGGUGCCGGAAGGUUAAUUGAUGGGGUCAGCGCAAGCGAAGCUCCUGAUCGAAGCCCCGGUAAACGGCGGCCGUAACUAUAACGGUCCUAAGGUAGCGAAAUUCCUUGUCGGGUAAGUUCCGACCUGCACGAAUGGCGUAAUGAUGGCCAGGCUGUCUCCACCCGAGACUCAGUGAAAUUGAACUCGCUGUGAAGAUGCAGUGUACCCGCGGCAAGACGGAAAGACCCCGUGAACCUUUACUAUAGCUUGACACUGAACAUUGAGCCUUGAUGUGUAGGAUAGGUGGGAGGCUUUGAAGUGUGGACGCCAGUCUGCAUGGAGCCGACCUUGAAAUACCACCCUUUAAUGUUUGAUGUUCUAACGUGGACCCGUAAUCCGGGUUGCGGACAGUGUCUGGUGGGUAGUUUGACUGGGGCGGUCUCCUCCUAAAGAGUAACGGAGGAGCACGAAGGUUGGCUAAUCCUGGUCGGACAUCAGGAGGUUAGUGCAAUGGCAUAAGCCAGCUUGACUGCGAGCGUGACGGCGCGAGCAGGUGCGAAAGCAGGUCAUAGUGAUCCGGUGGUUCUGAAUGGAAGGGCCAUCGCUCAACGGAUAAAAGGUACUCCGGGGAUAACAGGCUGAUACCGCCCAAGAGUUCAUAUCGACGGCGGUGUUUGGCACCUCGAUGUCGGCUCAUCACAUCCUGGGGCUGAAGUAGGUCCCAAGGGUAUGGCUGUUCGCCAUUUAAAGUGGUACGCGAGCUGGGUUUAGAACGUCGUGAGACAGUUCGGUCCCUAUCUGCCGUGGGCGCUGGAGAACUGAGGGGGGCUGCUCCUAGUACGAGAGGACCGGAGUGGACGCAUCACUGGUGUUCGGGUUGUCAUGCCAAUGGCACUGCCCGGUAGCUAAAUGCGGAAGAGAUAAGUGCUGAAAGCAUCUAAGCACGAAACUUGCCCCGAGAUGAGUUCUCCCUGAGACUUAGAGUCUCCUGAAGGAACGUUGAAGACGACGACGUUGAUAGGCCGGGUGUGUAAGCGCAGCGAUGCGUUGAGCUAACCGGUACUAAUGAACCGUGAGGCUUAACCUUACAACGCCGAAG
rnacentral:rRNA from 1 species